GCCAGUGUGGUGUAGUGGUUUGAGUGCUGGCUUAUAGCUCCAGAGACUAGGGUUCAAAUUCCCACUUGGCC